rnacentral:lncRNA from 10 species
GGCAGAACAGGACAGGGCAACCUCCACUUCUGCUUGGCCAACCUCUGUCAUGGCUCAUAUAGCGACUUCGAAGGAGCAGCAGUGGCAUUCGUGCGUAGCUGCAGACAUGUCAAGAUGCUUGGAGUUACUGGGUGACACUCAAAGAUGGAAUACUCCAAUUGUGGGGGCACGGAUAACACCCACUGGAGUAUUUGGUGUGUCCAUCAAGAAUCUCAACAAAAGGACUCUUCCAGAGACAUCUCCAAGAGUUAGAGUAAGAGAAACAUGGAAAUGAAUGUUGUGAAUGUGAAAGGAAAAUUUCUCAUAAGAUCAGAGAAAUAAUAAUUCUAUGAGAAAGAAUAUUAAGGUGAAUAUGAACCUCCAAAUUUUUUACCGCAGCCUCCAUGACCCUUAUGACCUGACCCUAUCUCUAAUUAAUCUUCUUUUUCACCCACAUUGCCCCAGGUACUCUUGCCCUACUCUGGAGCCCUCAACUCUGCACCUCAGAGCCUUUAUUUUUUUCCCAUAGACCUCCUCUCCCAAAUAGCUCUGGGAUUGCAUGUUCUCUGCUUAUCACUCUGUUCCAAAGAAACUGACUUCCGAGGUGUUCCUGGUGACCCUAUCUACAGUAGCCCCCACCCCUUCACCUCCCUACAACCACCAUUAACUACAGCCGCCCUUUGUCUCAUUGCCUUUGCAUUCUCCUUGGCACACUCAUCACCAUUGUCUAUUGGUAUGUUUCCUUAUUGAUCAUGUCCUUUCAAUAAAUUGUAAGUUCCAGUUAUAGCAGGGACCUAGCUGUUUUGCUCCCUCAUUCUGUCCCCAGUGCUUGCAACGGUGCCUGGGACAGUGUGGACCUUUCUAUCUGGAAUAAAUAAAUCAAUAAACUCUAUCUCAUACCCAAUACUACUGAAGCAUGCAGUGAUGCAAUAUUUAUACCAUGCAUCAAAAAAUAACUGUAGAAAUUUCUAUAUUGUAAUUUUCAAACAGUUCUUUAUCACAGACUUUGUCACCUUCUGCCGUUAAUGUGUAUUUCCUAACAAUUUCUUUUCUUUACCUUCUUUCUAGCUCUCUUUUUCCUUCCAACAAACAUUUAUUGAAUGCUGGUCUCAUAUUAAGCCUGAAGAUGCAGAGAUAAACAUGAAAUAAUUUCUACCUUUUGGUGUUAAUAACUUAGUGGAAGACUGAUUUUAAAAUUCAAUAGGUAAAUUAAAAAUAAAUAAGUAACUACAAUAGGAGCAGAGUGAUAGAAAAAAAUGGGGCCUAGAAUUGCACAUACACACACACACAUACACUCACCUGUCACUUAUACAGAAAUUGUUUAAGUAGGCUGCAAGGGCUCUGCCUUUUACCUUGUUUUUGCCAGGUCAGCAUAGAGUAACUUCAGCAGUCUGGUGGGUGGAGUUCAAGUUGUUCUCUUGGUCUUAAGUGAUGCAGAGCUUUCUGUAGGUAUAAAGACAACUUCAGAAUCUCUAGGCAGACUGCAUUUCUUGAAGGAAUGUUCAGAGAGUAAAUGCAAAAGUCUGCUCAGGACAGUGGGUGGCUCAAGGGUAGACGCAUUCUUUAAGAAAAGUCUGUGGAAGACAGAUUUUAUUAAUACUUUUGACUUAAUUAACACGUUCUACCACUGCUUUGUCAUUAUGUAGAAUUAAGAAAUCAGCUUGGCCAGCUCUUCCCUUUUGUUAGCCUUGAAUAGUUGCUCUUUAUCUGAAAUCCUAUUUGGGAAUAGCAAAAGACGAGAACAAAUUGAGUCACCGUGAAUUCCAUAUUUCUACAACAAUCCCCCACUCUGUUGAAUAGAUGUUUCCAGAAAGCACUGAAUAGAGGAAAAAUGGAAUAUGUUACAGGAAUUUCUUUCCUCCAAGAUUUUCAAUUAUCUUCCUCAACUUUGUGGAAUAAAGUGGAGUACAAAAAUAUAGAAGUGUAUGGCAAGGAAUGUCAGUAGGUCAUUUUGGCAGAAUAUAAGUAAAUAUACAGGUGGUGUAACUGCAAAACCACAAGGAUUUUAUUAGCAAUGUGAUUUUGGGAAAAUGCAGAUGUUGUUUAAUGAUCAGUUUCCUCAUCUGUAAAGUAAGAAUAACAAAUAACUGCCUCAAGGGGGUAGGCAAGAAUUAAAUGAGAGA